AGAAGACUCAUAAAUAGUCGACUAAAAGCGGGCAACGGAGAGAGAGAAAACAGGAGGCGAUAGAGAUAACAGAUCGAAGAAGGCGAGAGAGAGUGAUCGAAGAAAGCUGGUAAUGGAGGGAUCAAUUUUCUUUCCCUAAUAACUUGAAGGAGGAACUCCACCUAUACUGGAUGGAAAUUAAUCAAGUGGAAGCAGAUAGAAGAUCUCCUUGGAUUACUGGCACUAGGGACCCUACAUGAACAUCACUUUUACCAGGAACUCCCCGUUAUGACUUCCAGAUAUACCCACCUCAUCCCCAACCAGUAAUAUACCCACUCCUUCACAGUAAAAUGUUAAUGAACAAUCCUUAAACAGAAUACUUAGUUCUGCUGUUUACCUCCACUCUCUCUGCUAACUCUAGUUUUGGAAAUCUUGCAGCUAAGUCCUGAUCACCCAUGGCUUCGAGAGGGUGGCGAAGCAUUGGACAAGUCAGCAAACAGUGCGGUUCUUUCUAGGAUGAGGCAGUUCAGAGCUAUGAACAAGCUCAAGAAGCUUGCACUCAAGGCUGAUGUCGAUAGUAACGGGACAAUCGAUUACAUGGAAUUUAUAGCUGCGAUGAUACAUCGAUACACACUGGAGAGGGAUGAACAUCUCUACAAGGCAUUCGAGCAUUUUGACACAGACAACAGUGGAUACCAUUAAAGAAAUAUUGUCUGAAGUUGACUCAGAUAAUGUAUGUUGUUCUUUUCAGUUCCAACUCUAUUAUGCAUAGUUGAUCUGAAUCUCGAUUUAAUAAUCAUGCUUAUGUUGCUGACUCGGCUGUUAGGGGCUGCAAGAUCGGUUCAGUUUGACUCGAUUUUAGCUGAAAUUGUUAUUAAUUAAA